AUUGAACGCUGGCGGCAGGCCUAACACAUGCAAGUCGAACGGCAGCACAGAAGAGCUUGCUCUUUGGGUGGCGAGUGGCGGACGGGUGAGUAAUGUCUGGGAAACUGCCCGAUGGAGGGGGAUAACUACUGGAAACGGUAGCUAAUACCGCAUAACGUCGCGAGACCAAAGUGGGGGACCUUCGGGCCUCACACCAUCGGAUGUGCCCAGAUGGGAUUAGCUAGUAGGUGGGGUAAUGGCUCACCUAGGCGACGAUCCCUAGCUGGUCUGAGAGGAUGAACAGCCACACUGGAACGGAGACACGGUCCAGACUCCUACGGGAGGCAGCAGUGGGGAAUAUUGCACAAUGGGCGCAAGCCUGAUGCAGCCAUGCAGCGUGUAUGAAGAAGGCCUUCGGGUUGUAAAGUACUUUCAGCGGGGAGGAAGGCGGUGAGGUUAAUAACCUCGCCGAUUGACGUUACCCGCAGAAGAAGCACCGGCUAACUCCGUGCCAGCCGCCGCGGUAA
rnacentral:rRNA from 1 species